GUCUACAGCCAUACAACCCUGAACAUGCCCGAUCUCGUCUGAUCUCAGAAGCUAAGCAGGGUUGGGCCUGGUUAGUACUUGGGUAGGAGAAACCUCAAGAGUUUAACACA
ensembl:rRNA 5S_rRNA 5S ribosomal RNA